rnacentral:lncRNA from 1 species
CUUAUUUUACAGUUUCAAAAAAAAAUCGAACUUCGUAAAUAUUACAAAAGCCACUUAAUUUUACAGAUGGGGGUUUCCGAGAAACACCAAUGAAAAGCAGAAUCUUUCGAUAUCACCGAUGACUACACACAACAAAUCACAAGCCAGUCCCAUUUUCAGCACCAACAAAAACAGAAGCACGAUGAUAAAAUAAAUCUAAAACA